rnacentral:lncRNA from 1 species
GGAAGAAGAAGACGCUGCACGACUACGCGGCGGAGUUCACGGAGCUGGCGGUGAAGCGGCACCUGCUGGAGCGCGGCGCCGCCGGCGAGGCCGCCGUGGUGGAGACGCUCUACUGCACCUCCUGCGAGCUGCCCAUGCGGGUGCGGCGCGACCGCAUCCUCGAGCACCUCUCCUCGGGCCGCCACUACCGCAACCGCCGCCUCGGCCGCCAGCACGGCCUGCGCGCCCCGCUCCUCCUAUCUGCAGGUCCAGACCUUGGCGCUAGCCUCCCCCUCCAGCUCGAUCCUCCUUCCCUGCUUUCUCAGCCUUCCUUUAUCCUCUCGGCCAACCCUUGCAUCACCAGCGCCGGGACCAGCACGAGCUACAGCAUGGUCCCGUCUCCGCCCUCCUGCCCCAAGGCGUUGAUCCCYGUUCCCCCCGGCGCUGUCAGCUCCACAACGAGCAUCGCGUCUGCCAGAGAAGACCAGACGCCCUCUACCUCCACCAGUCGCUCUUCGGCGUUCGCUGCCUUCCAUGUGAGAAGCACGCCCGCUCCCUCAAAGCAGACCGGCCAAAGGCUCCUUGUUCCUGAGGUCUCCGACAGCGCCGUUCCCGGAGGGGCGGCGGGACGGAGCAGCAGUACUGCUAGCAGUAUCGGCAUCGGCCUCGCCCUCUUUGGCGUAGGGCUCGUUGACAAAGCGUUGUUUCAGAGUUUAAUGGAAGAGAAUAGUUGCUGUUUGCUUUACAUCGUGGAAAAUCAGCUGCAGGAGGUGGAACGUGCCUUCAGCGCGGAAUUUUUGGCCAAUACCAGGGUGCUGCGGCAACAGGAUGCUGACGUUGUGCUCAGUGAUCAACGGGUCUCUGGAGCCAUUAUUUCUUCACCACCUGAAGAAGCUUCUGAGAUUGUAAUAGAUGCUUUACGAGCUGGGAAAGGUGUAUUUUGCGAGAGGCUACCCAGUUUAGACAGGCAGACAGCAGAAGCUUGUUUUGAUGAAGCUGACAGAUGUGGAAGACCAUUGGUUUGUGGAUUCUACAAACUUCUUUGUGAAACUUCUGGCCCCGUGUAUUGUGCUUUUCCUGGAUCAGAGGGUCUUGUAUCCUUUUUUCCCUCUGUUGGACAGCUUUGCUGCAGCGUUUUGACCCAGCGCUGCAGUUCUUGUAUAAAAAAGUCCGUGACAGCCAGGCGUUGGGGAGGAUUCACCGGAUAUCGGCRACCAGCAGCAUAUAUCCAGCGGCUUCUCUUAGCUUCCUAA